CAAAUUAUAGCUUAACAAAAGCAUCUUGCUUACACCAAGAAAAUACCCGCUAAAUUCGAGUUAAUUUGA
rnacentral:tRNA from 1 species